UACGGGGGGAGCAAGCGUUGUUCGGAUUUACUGGGCGUAAAGGGCGCGUAGGCGGCCACCGCAAGUCGACUGUGAAAUCUCCGGGCUUAACCCGGAAAGGCCAGCCGAUACUGCGGGGCUAGAGUGCAGAAGGGGCAACUGGAAUUCUCGGUGUAGCGGUGAAAUGCGUAGAUAUCGAGAGGAACACCUGCGGCGAAGGCGGGUUGCUGGGCUGACACUGACGCUGAGGCGCGAAAGCUAGGGGAGCGAACGGG
rnacentral:rRNA from 1 species